AAGUAAGCSGGAGGAUAAGAAACUAAAAAGGAUUUCCCUUAGUAAUGGCGAAUGAACAGGGAUGAGCUCAAUAUGGAAAUUGUGGCUUCUGGCUUUGAAUUGUAAUCUCAAGAUGCAUUGCUAACUGGGGCGUAGGUGAAAGCCUCUUGGAAAAGAGAAUCAUUGAGGGUGAGAAUCCUGUUUGUCAUCUACAGUCCUCCGUGUACGGCAUGCGUUCUAAGAGUCACGUUCCUCGGGAUUGGAGCGCAAACUGGGUGGUAAAUUUCAUCUUAAGCUAAAUAAGGGUUCGAGACCGAUAGCAAACAAGUACCAUGAGGGAAAGAUGAAAAGGACUUUGAAAAGAGAGUUAAAAGUGCCUGAACUUGCUGAAAGGAAAGCGGAUGGAACCAGUGUUGCUUGGCGAGAUUGUUGCGUGCGAAAGUGAUUGCUUGCUGCAUCAGCGCAAGCGGUGCUGUGGGUUUUGAUCUGGCUGUGCGCGAUGCUUCUUGCCUCGUGUGUCAUCGUCAGUGUGCUGGUGAGGACAACUCUUGGGACAUGGUAGCCUGCCCCUGGGCGUGCGAAUGUGCCUUGCAGAACUCACUGUCAUAUUGCUCCUCCACAUGUGAGGUCGUGCUGCCUUUCUUUGGCACCUGUGUUGGCGUUUGUGCCUGGCCUAGGUGUCGUUUGCUGAGCACCUUCCUGACAUAGCCAUGGUGACUAAAUGGUUCUAUUCGACCCGUCUUGAAACACGGACCAAGGAGUCUAACAUGUGUGCGAGUUCUUGGGCGGCGAAACCUACGUGCGCAAUGAAAGUGAUUACUGAGAUGCUAGCAUCAGCAGCCGACCGAUCAAUUGGGAGAGGUUUGAGCAUGAGCAUAUCUGUUAGGACCCGAAAGAUGGUGAACUAUGCUUGUGAAGGGUGAAGUCUGGGGAAACUCAGAUGGAGGCUCGUAGCGAUACUGACGUGCAAAUCGUUCGUCAUACAUGGGUAUAGGGGCGAAAGACUAA
rnacentral:rRNA from 1 species